rnacentral:rRNA from 1 species
AGUGAACGCUGGCGGUAGGCCUAACACAUGCAAGUCGAACGGCAGCACAGUAAGAGCUUGCUCUUGCGGUUGGCGAGUGGCGGACGGGUGAGGAAUAGAUCGGAAUCUACUUUUUCGGGGGGGAUAACGGGGGGAAACUUACGCUAAUACCGCAUACGACCUACGGGUGAAAGCAGGGGAUCUUCGGACCUUUCGCGAUUGAAUGAGCCGAUGUCGGAUUAGCUAGUUGGCGGGGUAAAGGCCCACCAAGGCGACGAUCCGUAGCUGGUCUGAGAGGAUGAUCAGCCACACUGGAACUGAGACACGGUCCAGACUCCUACGGGAGGCAGCAGUGGGGAAUAUUGCACAAUGGGCGCAAGCCUGAUCCAGCCAUGCCGCGUGAGUGAAGAAGGCCUUCGGGUUGUAAAGCCCUUUUGUUGGGAAAGAAAAGCAGCAGGUUAAUACCCCGCUAUUCUGACGGUACCCAAAGAAUAAGCACCGGCUAACUUCGUG